UACGUAGGGGCCGAACGUUGUCCGGAGUUAUUGGGCGUAAAGCGCGCGCAGGCGGCCUCGCGCGCCCGACGUGAAAGCCCCCGGCUUAACCGGGGAGGGUCGUUGGGGACGGCGGGGCUUGAGGGCGGGAGAGGUCGGUGGAAUUCCCGGUGUAGUGGUGAAAUGCGUAGAGAUCGGGAGGAACACCUGUGGCGAAGGCGGCCGACUGGGCCGACCCUGACGCUGAGGCGCGAAGGCGUGGGGAGCGAACGGG
rnacentral:rRNA from 1 species